GGAAACGACAUUAGACAAAAUGAAAUUGUAAUUUACAUCAUCAGAAUGUUGAUGAUUGACGUAAAUGGUGUUAGAUAAGGAGAAAAGGGCAAUCUCUUUUGUCGUCAAACAGUGACAAGAUUGAGUUAACAACAAGUAAGUAUUGUAAAUUAUCUUAUAAUGUAUAAAGUCAAAAAUAGUACAUUACAUUUUUUUUUAUCUUACUAAAACAUGUAAUAUCGGAGAAAUACUCAUUAUUGCGAAUAUCAAUGAAUGUCAGUUAAAAAAAGAGUGUACAUUUUUAUUAGAAAUUCUUUGCUCAUAAAAAAAAUAAAAUAUGUAAUGGCUGCCUUACAUUUUUUUAAACCGUAUUGAAUUGAAAUGGCGUGCCUCUUUCUUUCAUCGGGUAACAAAUAAAAAAAUGAAAAAAUAUCUUGCAUAAAAAGUUUAAAAGCUAGUUCUUGAAACUGAUACUAAAUAAAAAAAAAAUAAUAAAAAAAAAAAGAAAUUAUCUGGUUUCCUUUUUUGAGCAAGAAAAUACUACAUCUUUCGAAGCACCUGUUAUGUGUCUCAAUUUUUGUAUGAAAUUUAUGUUUUUAUUCUAUUGUAUGUUUGUGCAGAAACGGUGAUUGUUUCUAUUUUGUUUUCUUUAAAUUAUAAUAUUCAAAAAAUUGUUUAUACACAUAAACACAAUACCAAAUUUAAUUUGAUUUUAUAAUUCAUUCACAUUUCGAUUUUGUUUUUCAUCAGAGACGAUCGUUGCUUUCUUUUUACAUUGAUGCUCGAUUCCAUAUACAUAAUAUAUAUAUAUCUUAACAGUUAUAGUACGGCGGCUUUGUAAAAAAAUGUGCACAUCCUGCUACUAGUAUGAAAUUUGGAAUAGACCUUCCUCGACUAUUACUCUUUUAUUUCAGAUAGGGAGACAUUUGAAAAAAAAUGUCUCACUUCCGGUAAAAUCCAAAAUGGCGGACAUUAUUAUAUAUAUUAUUGUCAUUGAUUUUUAUAUAUUUUUAGGCUAUUAAAAUGAGGUUAUUGAUUGCUGUAAUUUUACUCUCUGUCUGCUUCACAGGUAAUGUCAUAUCAAACAUAAAACAAAAUUUUAAAUUCACAAUAUUUUCAAUACAACAGUGGCUUAUAUCACAAAACGUAUACGCAGUGCUUGGAUUACAAAAUUUGCACUCGAAACAAUAAAUUUAGAAAACUUUUGAUUGGUUGAUUUCUGAGUCUUAGUAGGAGAAUCGUUCUCGUGACCAUGAUGGGCGAUCGGCAUUAUUUUGCCGAUAUUGGUCCUUAUAUUUUCUUAAGAUGCACCGAACACGUAGCAAUUCGUGCUUUUAUAGUAUGUUUAGCAAACCGUUUUGUUACUUACAUAAAAGAGUUAUUAGUUGCGGAAUGUAUACAUAAUCACACAUGAUAGGUCGGAAUAGGACCGUUAAAUGUGAGGCUUGCGUAAUUGCAUGCAGUUGAGAAUCAUGCUAUCUUAAACGUUAAUGCAUCCAUGAAACAGCCUUUUGUUGUGUUCGUAUGUAGCCUGUUGUAAAGCAAUAUGUUUGUCCUUAUUCAGCUAAGCCUAAGUAUUACGUACAGUCUAAAUUCUUGACCAUUAUCUCGGUCAACACCUUUGAGAAUCUAUUUAUUGCACCUAUUGUUCUGGCCAAAGAUAUGCAUGGACUAUUUGUCAAUUGACGUUAAAAAGCAAAAUCACAAAAAUACUUAACUCCGAGGAAAAUUCAAAACGGAAAGUCCCUAAUCAAAUGGCAAAAUCAAAAGAUAAAACACAUCAAACGAAUGGACAAUUACUACUGUCGUAUCUAUUCCUGACCUGGUACAGGCAUUUUCAAAUGUAGAAAAUGGUGGAUUGAACCUGGUAAAUAAACAGACACCAAUCUAUCAAUCAAUCAUUUGAUUAUACAUAUUUGGGCAGAUUGGCGAGUUUUGGGUUUAAUCUUUGGAUUAAUUAUAAAUGAAAACAAGAAGACGUGUUAGUAUCGCCUAUGAUACAACUCUCCACUAGCGAUCGAAUGAAAAAUACAGUAAAAAAAAUAGAACAGCCAUGCAUUUAUAUCUAUAUUUAACAAAUUAAAAAUAAAAAUGUUUUUCUUAUUAAUUUAAAGUUUUAAAUUUAAGUGAAAGAAGGCAUCUAUCAAGCUUCCACAACUGAACACGUCAAUCAACGUAAAUAUGGUAUGAAUGUAUCUCAAUCUAGAAUACAUAUUUCUCAAAAAAAAAACAUUUCUCAAAAAAGAAGAUUGGAAAUUGUUUUCUGAUCAUGCUACAGAAUUUAUCUUCGAAAGAUGCCGAUGUCUGUAAUAUAUUUUUUCAAUUAUAAGUUGGUCUUAUAUAUAUUUCGACUAAUUCAAGCUGUACGUGAAAUUGUCAUAUUAGGUCAAAUAAGCGAAUUUCGAAAUGGCAUAGUGACAUCAAGGGCGACCUUUCUAUCGUGACUAAAAUUAUUUUCCAGAUUUAAAAAGAAGAUAUGGUAUGAUUGCCAAUGAGACAACUAUCCACAAAACACCAAAUUGACACAGAAAUUAACAACUAUAGGUCACCUUACGGCCUUCGACAAUGAGCAAAGCCCAUACCGCAUAGUCAGCUAUAAAAGGCCCCGAUAAGACAAUGUAAAACAAUUCAAACGAGAAAACUAAAGGCCUUUAUUUAUAUAAAAAAUGAACGAAAAACAAAUAUGUAACACAUAAACAAACGACAACCACUGAAUUACAGGCUCCUGACUUGGGACAGGCACAUUCAUAAAUAAUGUGGCGGGGUUAAACAUGUUAGCGGGAUCCCAUCCCUCCCCCUAACCUGGGACAGUGGUAUAUAAAGCAACUUGUACAUUUGUCAAUAACAUUUUGAAUAGUUUGAAUCAUCUUAAUUUUUUGUUUGCAAAUUUAGGGGUAAAAUUAUUGAUAUUAUCAUCCCAUUGUUCAUUUCAAGAAAUUGAAUUAUGUUGAAAUUGUAUACAAUAACUAUUUGGAAGCUGGGCCCGUAUACAUUACACAACUUAAGUUAAGAUAUCCAAUCGGAAUACUAAUUUAUCGUAGGACCUGUAGAAAAACCCGUUCAUUCGGAACAAUUCUUAACUUACGUGUUAGUAGAUUUAUGAAUGGUCUUUUAAUUAUAAAAUCGCUAUUUUAAUAUUGACAGGUGGCGGUUUAACAGAAACUCGAGAUCGUAAAUGUAUACCAUUCAUGGACUGUGGCUUUUCUAUAGAUAAGUGUCCACCUUUUUGUCAGAGGAAAGGUUGCAAUGGUUCACAGUCGAAAUGUGUUGGAUACACUCUAUGCUGCUGCACAGGAUGCGGUCAUGGGAAAUGACAGUUGAAUCCAUGCUGCCUGGUGUGAACUAAGGCUCCUAGUUAUAGACUUUGAUCUAUAACGGUUUACUUUUACAAAUUGUGACUUGGAUGGCGAAUUGUCUCACUGGCAAUUAUACCACAUGUUUCUUAUAUUUAUGUAAUGGUGUGUCUAAUAAAAAUGUAAAUGUG
rnacentral:lncRNA from 1 species